rnacentral:rRNA from 1 species
AUUGAACGCUGGCGGCAUGCCUAACACAUGCAAGUCGAGCGGAUGAAGGGAGCUUGCUCCUGUAUUCAGCUGCGGACGGGUGAGUAAUGCCUAGGAAUCUGCCUUGUAGUGGGGGAUAACGUCCGUUAACGGGCGCUAAUACCGCAUACGUCCUGAUGUUGAAAGUGGGGGAUCUUCGGACCUCACGCUAUCAGCUGAGCCUAGGUCGGAUUAGCUAGUUGGUGGGGUAAAGGCCUACCAAGGCGACGAUCCGUAACUGGUCUGAGAGGAUGAUCAGUCACACUGGAACUGAGACACGGUCCAGACUCCUACGGGAGGCAGCAGUGGGGAAUAUUGGACAAUGGGCGAAAGCCUGAUCCAGCCAUGCCGCGUGUGUGAAGAAGGUCUUCGGAUUGUAAAGCACUUUAAGUUGGGAGGAAGGGCAGUAAGUUAAUACCUGGAUGUCUUGACGUUACCAACAGAAUAAGCACCGGCUAACUUCGUG